ACGCGGACAGAGUCUCUCCUGUAUUUACACGGCAUCGCACAAGUACAAGAUAUACGAUACCAAAUACAACCACCACAUAUGAACAUCCACAUAUCCAUACACCAUUCACAUUCAUAUUUAUUUCAUCAUAAAUUUCUAUAAAUCCACAUCUAUCAGUUUAAAAUGUUUCCUAUCCGAAAACUCGUUUUAAAACACGUAGUCAUGAAAACCAAGAAAAACCUUUUUAAAAACUGUUUCCUAUACGGAAACCUUUUCCUUUUAAAACUCGCUACCACGAGGGGUGGAAAAUCAUUUUCAGUUUACAAGAAUUCCAAAUCCUUUAUUGCAUUCACGAAACCCAAAAAUUUAAUUCACAUAAAAUACUGAACCAUAAAUGCUGUCUAAGUUAUUUAUUUA
rnacentral:lncRNA from 1 species